rnacentral:tRNA from 1 species
GGGGCUGUAGCUCAGUGGUAGAGCACCUGCCUAGCAUGUGUGAGGUACUGGGUUCGAUUCUCAGCACCUCA